AACGAACGCUGGCGGCAUGCCUAACACAUGCAAGUCGAACGAGACCUUCGGGUCUAGUGGCGCACGGGUGCGUAACGCGUGGGAAUCUGCCCUUGGGUUCGGAAUAACAGCGAGAAAUUGCUGCUAAUACCGGAUGAUGACGUAAGUCCAAAGAUUUAUCGCCCAAGGAUGAGCCCGCGUAGGAUUAGCUAGUUGGUGAGGUAAAGGCUCACCAAGGCGACGAUCCUUAGCUGGUCUGAGAGGAUGAUCAGCCACACUGGGACUGAGACACGGCCCAGACUCCUACGGGAGGCAGCAGUGGGGAAUAUUGGACAAUGGGCGAAAGCCUGAUCCAGCAAUGCCGCGUGAGUGAUGAAGGCCUUAGGGUUGUAAAGCUCUUUACCCGGGAUGAUAAUGACAGUACCGGGAGAAUAAGCUCCGGCUAACUCCGUGCCAGCAGCCGCGGUAAAU
rnacentral:rRNA from 1 species